rnacentral:rRNA from 78 species
UAGGACUCUCGGCAAUGGAUAUCUUGGCUCUUGCAUCGAUGAAGAGCGCAGCGAAAUGCGAUACGUGGUGUGAAUUGCAGAAUCCCGUGAACCAUCGAGUUUUUGAACGCAAGUUGCGCCCGAGGCCAAUUGGCUAAGGGCACGUCCGCCUGGGCGUCAAGC